GAGCACUGUCCUGGGGUCUUCCCGCUGACCGUCACACCCCCGUUGAUGAAAGGCGGCAGGCGGUGGCGAAUGAAGACCGCCAAGGAGCUGCUAGGCUCUCGUAACUCGUGGCGGGCUGUCGUAAGAAAUCCCACCAACGAGGAGGUUUGGAGCAACAGAAAUGUAUUCUCUCACGGUUCUGGGGGCCCAAAGUCUCAAGUCCAGAUGUCUGCAGGGCCGUGCUCCCUCUGAAGAUUCUAGGGAAGGAACUACUCCAGCUCUCUCUUCCCACUUCUGGAGGCUCCUUGGUUUCUGGCGGGGCAGGAAGGGCUGAUCAUGAGGAUUCUGAGGUCAUACCCAUGAGGCCAACUCAUCCUGCUCUGGUGACUAUAUGUUGUUUGCCUCAUUUUUGCAUGGACAAAUUUGAACAGAAUGAGUAUCGUGAUCAACCCUAAAAGGUGGAAAGCCAUCACCCAGGGGCAGCAUUGGGAGAAGAGGCUGGUUUGUCUGCAUGGCCCUCAGGAUUCUGCCCAAUGAAGAUCAACCAAUGAGUUCAGAAUCAAAGAACAUGAAAUCUACAAGCAAACAGGCCACCAUGAGUGAGAAUCAGCAGAAACUAUGAACCCCAGAAUUAAACCUCCGUCCUUUAGAUCCCAGGCCCUGCCAGCCAGGAGCGCAAGGAGAUUGUGCUGUGCUCUGCCUGGAACCUACCAGAACUCUGGAAAUGGCCUUUCCAGUCCACCCCCGGGGAAUAAACAAGGCCAUGGAGAUUUAAAGCAUCAGUAGAGAGGACACUUCUUUAUUGGAAAAGGUCUUUUUCUUUUCCAAAGGGGAUAAAAGAUUAUAGACCGACUGGUUAUUUAAGUUUAUGAAAAUAUACAACAUAGGUUGCUAAUGCUUUUCUAUUAUUUUCAGUGAUAAUUGUAAAUUAAGGAAAAGGCAAGAAGGCUUGAGGUUUUUUCUCCCUGAAAACGAACUAUGGAUUGUGUCCAGGAGCUCUCAAAAAAUAGUAAAUAUUUCCUUGAAAAAUAUAUCAAACAAGAGAAAGAGAAAUACUUUUGUAUUAUCCUCUGAGCUGCUAAUUGUUAAAGCAGGUUUCUCGGGCAAAAUGCCCUGAUUCACUGUAUCCUCACAACCGGGGACCAUACAAGUGAGGUAAAGUGCCUGUCAGAGAUCUGUUUAGCCCAGGUGUAAGGGAAGAGAUUGCUCCCCCACCCCCCACAGUCCUUCCAGCACUUACGACCAACAACAAAGGAUCUCACGUUUUACAUUUCUAUGACCAUAUUUCUGGCACCCAGGGGCCCACAGUUGCACCCACCUCUCAGGCCAUUUGCUGGGCCCCAGAGCUCACGGAGCUGCUGUGGGCUUUCGGCUCCCAUGCACAGCACACCGCUGAGGGGGUGACUGCCCCCCUGCAAGCCACAACCUAGCUGCUAAGUGCUUCCUCCCAUAGCCACUCUGUGAGCAAAACCGCCUCAGCUUCAUCCUCUGCAGUGUGAGGCUAUUUCUACCUUCCUUGGAUUUCCUCUCUCCUGAGAGCAGAGCCUGAGUAAAGAAUGGGGAGAUUUAUCCCUUGGACAGCAUCUUCAUUUCCCAGGGCUGCUGAAACAAAGGACCACAAACUGAUGGCUUACAGUAACAUGUAUUUUCUCAGUUUCAGAGGCCGGAAGUCCAAAUCAAGCUGUUGGCAGGACGGCGCUCCCUCUGAAGGUUCCAGGGGAGAAUCCUUCUGUGCCUCUUCCUGGCUUCUGGUGGUUGCUCCCAACCCGUGGCAAUUUCCAGCUUGUAACUCAUUGCUUGCAAUCUCGGCUUCUGUACUCACAUGGCCUUCUUCUGUGUGUCUCUCUGCACCCUCUUCCGUCUCUCCUAAGGACACUCUCAUUGGAUUUAGGGCCCACCUGAACCCUGUACUUUCUCACCUCAAUCCUUAUCUUAAUUACAUUCUGACGUCCCAGGUGGACAUGAAAUUUUAGGGAAACAUUAUUCAACCCAGCUCAGGGCUCUAGGCUCCUUUCAGGUUCUUUCUUAGUUCUGAAAUUACCUAAUGUUGACAUUGGGGGAGUGGAUGCCAUGGGAGGGAAUAAGCUGGUGUUCAAAAUACCUCCCUUGCCACUUGCUGUUAUGGCUGAGUUUCCCCAUGAACAAUAUCUAAGCCAUUUGACCCAAUCUUCAAGACUCAAUCCUCCGAGAAAUGGCAAAUAUCUCCGAGAGAUCAUUUCUCAAGCUGUGAUUCUUGGGGGUGGGGGGAGGGGUGGGGAACAUUAGAAUCAUCUGGCUGGUGGGGGUGUCUUACAAAGAAACACCUGCUCCAUGGGACGCCUGGGUGGUUCAGUUGGUUAAGUGCCUUCGGCUCAGGUCAUGAUUCCAGGGUCCUGGGAUCGAGCUCUGCAUCGGGCUCCUUGCUUAGUGACGAGCAUGCUUCUCCCUCUCACUGCCUACCUGUGCUCUCUCUCUCUGUGUCAAAUAAAUAAAUAAAAUCCUUAAAAAAAAAAAAAGAACACCUGCGCCGGGAAUUCUGCAAGAGGUGGGCGGGAAGGUGUGCCUUGCAAAGAGGUCAUUUACAUAGUAAACCUCUGUCACGCUGCAAACGUUUUAUCUAUCUCAGGUAUGCAGCUUCUGUUUCCAACCGUGGUUACCCACCUCCUGGCAAUCAGUUGACCUUAGCACUUGUUUGGGAGCUGGGGGAAGGUGUGCAGGGACAAAAGAGAAGAUACACCAAGGAGCAGCCCCCAAGAGGGCAAACCACUGAAAUUUCACUCUUCCUCCAUUUUCUAGAAUAAUCAGCCCCAGAUGUGUAGCAAGGUUGGCAAGUCCAGGUUGGCCCCACUAUUUGAAAUCUGGUGUGAAUUACGUAACUGAGUGGCAUGCUGUGUUAGGAAGGAUUCUGAGGCCGCAUCUGUGCUAAGUGGGAAGAGAGCCAUGAGAGAGUCACCAUCUACCACAAACAUUCCCAGGGACUAUCAGGGCAUAUGUCACCCAUUCGUCAUCCCUGGUCUAUAGCUUUUUGGGGGGACCAUUUCGUAAAUACGUUGCUGCCAAACAUAGGGAAGAGAUUUUUAUGUCCUGAUAUAGAAAUAUAUGAAGUCAUAAAAAUAAGCUAUUGCUAUGCUAUCACUACUUUUUUAUAUUUCUACAGACACUUUAAUGCCCAGUGUACAAAUCUUGUGAUUUUUGAAUCAGAAAUUCUUAGAGGCAAGCACGGGGUCUGUUCCUCCUCUGCAGCUGUCUGCACGCUGGGUAUCAGUUGUAUAACCAGGGUGACUGGGCCUGCGCCAAGCCUGAGCUCAGCAUCUUGGAGUGGGGUUGGAGGAGUGAAUGGGACACUGGGGAUGGGAGUGCUUUCAUCCUGCGGGCACCACCAUGAUCAUACAUUUCAAGCCUUGGCACCUCAGUGUCCCCAUCUGUAAAAUGGGAAUAGCCAGUCCACCCCUCCCUUCCCCCACAGGUUGGUGUGCGGCAGGGAUGGAGCACAAGGGUGGGCCCAGGACAGGCUGGUGGCGUCUUUUAGAAAUUGAUUUCUAAAAUGUGCAUCCUGCACAUUCUGAGGUCAGUGCUGUGACAAAUAAGAAUGUUUGCAGAGGAGGGCACUGCCCAGGAAAUCCAGCUCUGACGGUUAAAGAAAGCCAUCUGGAAGUCUCCGGAGACCAGGGGUUCUGAAGAUGCCAAGCAAGGAAAUGUGACAGUCUGAAGAGUCAGCGGUGCCCCUGGGAUGGUGCACAAGGCACAGUCUGCAAGAGGGGCUGCCAGGAGCUGACCUUUCCCUGCAUUGGCACCACGUGCAGAAGCCCAGGACGGGCAGCCAAGGUCAUGUGCCCUCACAACCAGCGCCUGAGGACAUUAGAAGGAGCCUUAGACAUGACUCAGUGAAAUGUUCGCUUGUGAGCAAGCAGGGGGGAAAGUUGUUGUUCCAGGAUCCCAAAGCUAAUUAGUGGCUGAACGGAGACGAGAACCUCACUUUGCAGAUGCCAGGAAGAAGAGAAUUUGUAGGAUGCUGGAGGGAAGGCCCAGAAGGAGCCCCAUAUUGCCUGUGACCAGCUGGCCUUGACCCUAGUGGGAUGCAGUUGGACCCUGAUACCUGUGGGCCCCUUCCCAGUGCAUGAGGAGUAGACAAUGGGAGCCCUUAUAGACAGAGGCACGGACUUGAGUGACUUCAAUCCUGUUGUUGUAUGGAAACAUACAAAAAUAUUUGCAAACUGGCAGAAUCCACCUUGAACAAGGCACACAACACUUUAAAAUGAUUCCUCGAGAUCACGGCAAAGGAACUGUGGAGAGGACUAUUACUUCUGCAAAAAAGAAAAAAAAAGUGAGGAAAUAGAAAAAAGAAUCAAAUGUAAGGAAGAAAUGUUAGGAGAAAUGAGCAAAAGUGCCAGUCUGACAUUGCCUGGUGAAAUUAACAGGGCAGGGUUUGAGGCCUGAGUCACUUUCUCCAGGAACUGGACAAGAACCCAACGGCUCAGGGAAGUCCCUAUUUGCUGUCAGUCAGACACUUUCUCUGAUUUUUGCACAUGUGAAACUUGAGAACCAAAUACAAUAAAAAUCUGUGAUGAAUUUGCCGGGGAUGGGUUUUUGGCAAAAAAUUUUCAGCUGUGAGGACAUUUGAAAGCUGCUAGAAUCGGUCCUGAAGAAACAAAGAUGUGAACUAUCUUGCCCUUUCUGGAAUUCGCUGUGACAUGGGAUUGGUAUGGGUCUCUGCCAAAUUUAUCCUUAUGCUUCAGACUUUCCUUAACUACUUGUAUGUCUCUUGUUACAGGUAAAAGUAAACUUCACAGUAUAUCAACUAUACUUCAAUUUUAAAAGGAGAGAAAACUUUAAAAAUUAAAAUGAAUGAAAAAUAUUCCUCAAUGAACUAUGAGACACACUGACAAAUCUGGCUAUGCUGCCUAUUGAAUGGGACUAUUCAGGAUCGAUUUUGAUGAAAUCACUGACAAAUUUGCAGAAGUCUCAAAGACAAAAACUGUAAUGUUCUAUCUGUUCCCAACAUACAGGCAAAAAGGUUCUCCCUUUUCUUAAAAAAAAAAAAAAAAGUAAUUUAAAAGUAUUUACUCCUGGGGCUCCAGGAUGGCUCAGUUGGUUGGGCGGCUGCCUUCGGCUCAGGUUGUGAUCCCAGGGUGCUGGGAUCGAGCCCCACGUCGGGCUCCCUGCUCGGCGGGAGGCCUGCUUCUCCCUCUCCCGCUCCCCCGGCUUGUGUUCCCUCUCUCGCUAUCUCUCUGUCAAAUAAAUAAAAUAAAUCUUUAAAAAAUAAAUAAAUAAAAAUAAAAGUAUUUACUCCUUCCCCUUAAAAAUGUACUAUUUAUUUACUAAUUGAUUCAUGUAUGUAUUUAAGUGCCAUGAUCAUGUAUGUGAAGUAUAAUAAAAGAAAAAAUUCAUUCUC